AUUGCUUCUUGGCCUUUUGGCUAAGAUCAAGUGUAGUAUGUAAUCUGCAUGGCAUGAUUUCCACUUAGGUUGCUUAUUAGUAAACAACUUAACCUCUCUGUGUUUCAAUUCCCCCAUUAGAUUUCACCUUACAAGGUCAUUGUGGGGAUUACCUAAA
ensembl:snRNA U2 U2 spliceosomal RNA